UUCAAGUUGAUACUUUAUAUUUAGCUGAGUCGGGGUGUCCGACUGACGCUUCUGUGUUUGUGAAAUUAAAUCAAGGGGCCUUGCUUUGAGAGAUGGUGCAAGCACUUCUUUCAUUUGCCUCCUUUUCCUAUUCCCUUUGCCACCAAUUUCUGGAAUACCUGAACCAUCCAGUGCUAACAUAAACACAGCUAGGGUUGAUCCGACAAAGAUGGGGGUCGGACGGGCCAUUGCUGUACUGACAUCAGGUGGUGAUGCCCAAGGGUGGCACCCCAACUCCUUUUGACAGAAAUUUUGCUACCAAGAUGGGUGCUAAAGAUGUUCUCUGACUGACUGAGAAACUGAAGGAGUGUUACAGACACGACUCUGCGUGUAUGUUGGGCAUGAGGAAGACAGGACUGGUGUUAGCCUCUGGCUGAAUUGAAAGAACAAACAGAUUUUGAACACUGUAUUCCGCAGAACCAGUGGUGGUUGAAGCUGAGGCCUAUUAUGAAGAUCUUGGCCAAGUACAAGAUUAGUCUGGACACCUCUGAACACGCUCUUAUGGAGCAUGUCAUCAGCAGGAAGCCUCCAAUUCACGACUCUCACGUAGUAAUCAUGAGCAAAAAUGUGGGCCGACAGAUACAAAAAAAAAAAAAAAAAAACCAUAUGAAAUGACUGAAUUAUUUAUUUAAAUUAUUUGUUCAUCUGUCUAUUUCUUAUACUUUCAUUUUGUUUGUAUUUAUAGUAUUUAUGGUAAUGCUUGUGCACUAUUUUAUCUGAUACAAAAUCUGACUGAAUAUAAAUUUCUUAGACAAGAAAGAUUUAUUUCCUAUAUAUAAAGGAAACUUUUAUAUAAUUGUCCAGUAAAAGAACUAUGUUCACCACCAAAUGUCAGUCAUGAAUGGAUCAUCCUAGAAAUGCUAUAAUACAUCUGUAUGUUUAUUCAUUGUUAUGCAUUAUUGAAAUAAUGACACACAUUGUCUUAAUUUACAUGUACUGGUUGGAUGAAAUGCUCCUUUACUUUAAACUCCUUU
ensembl:lncRNA